UUGCGGUCGGUCGCUAAAAUGAAAUGUCGUAACGACUCUCGGCAACGGAUAUCUCGGCUCUCGCAUCGAUGAAGAACGUAGCGAAAUGCGAUACUUGGUGUGAAGAGCAGAAUCCCGUGAACCAUCGAGUCUUUGAACGCAAGUUGCGCCCGAAGCCUUUCGGCCG
rnacentral:rRNA from 1 species